GGAGCGGUAGUUCAGUUGGUUAGAAUACCGGCCUGUCACGCCGGGGGUUCGAGUCCCGUCCGCUCCG
rnacentral:tRNA from 1 species